rnacentral:rRNA from 1 species
GACGAACGCUGGCGGCGUGCUUAACACAUGCAAGUCGAACGGAAAGGCCUGCUUUCCCUUGUGGAUUGCGGGUGCUCGAGUGGCGAACGGGUGAGUAACACGUGAGUGAUCUGCCCCCAACUUGGGUAUAAGCCUGGGAAACUGGGUCUAAUUCCCGAUAGGACUGCAGGGUGGUGCCUGUGGUGGAAAACGAUUUUCUAGUGGUUGGGGAUGAGCUCGCGGCCUAUCAGCUUGUUGGUGGGGUAAUGGCCUACCAAGGCGGCGACGGGUAGCCGGCCUGAGAGGGUGGACGGCCACAUUGGGACUGAGAUACGGCCCAGACUCCUACGGGAGGCAGCAGUGGGGAAUAUUGCAGAAUGGGCGGAAGCCUGAUGCAGCGACGCCGCGUGGGGGAUGACGGCCUUCGGGUUGUAAACUCCUUUCGACCGCGAGGAAGCCACCUGGUUGGAAGGGUGGUGACGGUAGUGGUAGAAGAAGCACCGGCUAACUACGUG